rnacentral:rRNA from 1 species
CUACGGGAUGCUGCAGUGGGGAAUAUUGCACAAUGGGCGCAAGCCUGAUGCAGCCAUGCCGCGUGUAUGAAGAAGGCCUUCGGGUUGUAAAGUACUUUCAGCGGGGAGGAAGGGAGUAAAGUUAAUACCUUUGCUCAUUGACGUUACCCGCAGAAGAAGCACCGGCAUAACUCCGUGCCAGCAGCCGCGGUAAUACGGAGGGUGCAAGCGUUAAUCGGAAUUACUGGGCGUAAAGCGCACGCAGGCGGUUUGUUAAGUCAGAUGUGAAAUCCCCGGGCUCAACCUGGGAACUGCAUCUGAUACGGGCAAGCUUGAGUCUCGUAGAGGGGGGUAGAAUUCCAGGUGUAGCGGUGAAAUGCGUAGAGAUCUGGAGGAAUACCGGGGGCGAAGGCGGCCCCCUGGACGAAGACUGACGCUCAGGUGCGAAAGCGUGGGGAGCAAACAGGAUUAGAUACCCCGGUAGUC